rnacentral:rRNA from 1 species
AGUGAACGCUGGCGGUAGGCCUAACACAUGCAAGUCGAACGGCAGCACAGUAAGAGCUUGCUCUUACGGGUGGCGAGUGGCGGACGGGUGAGGAAUACAUCGGAAUCUACUUUUUCGUGGGGGAUAACGUAGGGAAACUUACGCUAAUACCGCAUACGACCUACGGGUGAAAGCAGGGGAUCUUCGGACCUUGCGCGAUUGAAUGAGCCGAUGUCGGAUUAGCUAGUUGGCGGGGUAAAGGCCCACCAAGGCGACGAUCCGUAGCUGGUCUGAGAGGAUGAUCAGCCACACUGGAACUGAGACACGGUCCAGCCUCCUACGGGAGGCAGCAGUGGGGAAUAUUGGACAAUGGGCGCAAGCCUGAUCCAGCCAUACCGCGUGGGUGAAGAAGGCCUUCGGGUUGUAAAGCCCUUUUGUUGGGAAAGAAAAGCAGCAGGUUAAUACCGCGCUGUUCUGACGGUACCCGAAGAAUAAGCACCGGCUGACUUCGUG